rnacentral:tRNA from 1 species
CAGGGAGACAAACAACGAUUUUGAUGUCUGAGUUAUUUAUUCUUAGGCCAAAAUCCUGUCACCUUAGGUCGAUCGGUACCUCAACUUUGAAGCUAAGAGAGUUCCAGCAAUGGUUGUCUGCUUAGUGGAGAUUUUUAGUUCCUAAACUUUGUCUAGUUCACAACCCAUUAGGGAUGAGACUCCUGGGCCAUUAGCUCAGGUGGUUAGAGCGCACCCCUGAUAAGGGUGAGGUCCCUGGUUCAAGUCCAGGAUGGCCCAUUCGGUGUAGGGGGUUUAGCUCAGUUGGUAGAGCGCCUGCUUUGCAAGCAGGAUGUCAGGAGUUCGAGUCUCCUAACCUCCACUGACUACAAAAUCCCCAUCUCAAAACUGGAGUAUGAACUCGUAUGGAUUGUGAUUAGAUUUGUCCGCUAGAUGACCCUAGCUUCUUGUCAUUUUAAGCCAUGGAAAUGGUUCCAUGAUUUAAUUGAUAGGAUGCUGGGCUCGAUGCAAUGUAUUGAGAGAUCAAUGCAUUGUUUUGAUGUCUAGCCGAACCUUGACAACUGCAUAGUUUAAGUCUGGAAAGAAUAAAGCAUCUUUAUGGAUGCAUCAUUUUUUUAUGUUUACGCAUGAAGGAGUGAUGUUAAUUCUAAAGCAAGAGCCGAGACUCCAGUAUGUUCUUUCAAAUGUGUCGAGCAUUUGAGAGUUUGAUUUUAAUUUCUAGUUUUAGGAGCUAUUUUUAGAGUCUAAUUUUAGAAAUUAGAAAAAUCUGUUUCAACAACAGCAAGCGUGCUGGAGAUACAUU